rnacentral:miRNA from 1 species
CUUCAGGUCAACAAGGUAGAUGUACCUCGCUGAUUGGAAGGGUUUCCUUCCGGUGAACAAGGCACAUGUACCUCAUCAACCAGAAGGAAACCCUUCCAAUUGAUGAGGUACAUCUAUCUCAUCGACCGGAAG